rnacentral:rRNA from 1 species
AUUGAACGCUGGCGGCAUGCUUUACACAUGCAAGUCGAACGGUAACAGGCCGCAAGGUGCUGACGAGUGGCGAACGGGGGAGCAAUGCAUCGGAACGUGCCCAGUCGUGGGGGAUAACGCAGCGAAAGCGGCGCUAAUACCGCAUACGACCUGUGGAGGAAAGCGGGGGACGGAAAGGGCUCGUGCGAUCGGAGCGGACGAUGUCAGAUUAGGUGGUUGGUGGGGUAAAGGCUCACCAAGCCAACGAUCGGUAGCUUGUCUGGGAGGACGACCAGCCACACUGGGACUGAGACACGGCCCAGACUCCUACGGGAGGCAGCAGUGGGGAAUUUUGGACAAUGGGCGCAAGCCUGAUCCAGCAAUGCCGCGUGCAGGAAGAAGGCCUUCGGGUUGUAAACUGCUUUUUUGCGGAACGAAACGGUCCUGGUUAAUACCCUGGGCUAAUGACGGUACCGUAAGAAUAAGCACCGGCUAACUACGUGCCAGCCGCCGCAGUAACAC